AUUGAACGCUGGCGGCAGGCCUAACACAUGCAAGUCGAGCGGAUGAAGGGAGCUUGCUCCUGGAUUCAGCGGCGGACGGGUGAGUAAUGCCUAGGAAUCUGCCUGGUAGUGGGGGAUAACGUCCGGAAACGGGCGCUAAUACCGCAUACGUCCUGAGGGAGAAAGUGGGGGAUCUUCGGACCUCACGCUAUCAGAUGAGCCUAGGUCGGAUUAGCUAGUUGGUGGGGUAAAGGCCUACCAAGGCGACGAUCCGUAACUGGUCUGAGAGGAUGAUCAGUCACACUGGAACUGAGACACGGGCCAGACUCCUACGGGAGGCAGCAGUGGGGAAUAUUGGACAAUGGGCGAAAGCCUUAUCCAGCCCUGCCGCGUGUGUGAAGAAGGUCUUCGGAUUGUAAAGCACUUUUAGUUGGGAGGAAGGGCAGUAAGUUAAUACCUUGCUGUUUUGACGUUACCAACAGAAUAAGCACCGGCUAACUUCGUG
rnacentral:rRNA from 1 species